GACGAACGCUGGCGGCGUGCUUAACACAUGCAAGUCGAACGGAAAGGCCCUGCUUUUGUGGGGUGCUCGAGUGGCGAACGGGUGAGUAACACGUGAGUAACCUGCCCUUGACUUUGGGAUAACUUCAGGAAACUGGGGCUAAUACCGGAUAGGAGCUCCUGCUGCAUGGUGGGGGUUGGAAAGUUUCGGCGGUUGGGGAUGGACUCGCGGCUUAUCAGCUUGUUGGUGGGGUAGUGGCUUACCAAGGCUUUGACGGGUAGCCGGCCUGAGAGGGUGACCGGCCACAUUGGGACUGGGAUACGGCCCAGACUCCUACGGGAGGCAGCAGUGGGGAAUAUUGCACAGUGGGCGGAAGCCUGAUGCAGCAACGCCGCGUGCGGGAUGACGGCCUUCGGGUUGUAAACCGCUUUCGCCUGUGACGAAGCGUGAGUGGCGGUAAUGGGUAAAGAAGCACCGGCUAACUACGUG
rnacentral:rRNA from 1 species